GAUGAACGCUGGCGGCGUGCCUAACACAUGCAAGUCGAGCGAACCCUUCGGGGUGAGCGGCGGACGGGUGAGUAACGCGUGGGUAACCUGCCCUAUACACACGGAUAACGUACCGAAAGGUACGCUAAUACGGGAUAAAGUUGUUGGAUGGCAUCUUCUAACAAUCAAAGCUCCGGCGGUAUAGGAUGGACCCGCGUCUGAUUAGCUAGUUGGGGAGGUAAUGGCUCACCAAGGCGACGAUCAGUAGCCGACCUGAGAGGGUGAUCGGCCACACUGGAACUGAGACACGGUCCAGACUCCUACGGGAGGCAGCAGUGGGGAAUAUUGCACAAUGGGCGAAAGCCUGAUGCAGCAACGCCGCGUGAGCGAUGAAGGUCUUCGGAUCGUAAAGCUCUGUCCUCAAGGAAGAUAAUGACGGUACUUGAGGAGGAAGCCCCGGCUAACUACGUGCCAGCCGCCGCAGUAA
rnacentral:rRNA from 1 species